CUCAACCCACAGUGCUGGCUGGGCUGUAGUGAUCAAGUGAUGUAUGACUUUUCGGAUUUUUCCAAUGGCAAUACUCAGCGUGACUCAAGAGGGUGUGGUUUGGUCUGGCCACUUUUUCCAACCACACCCACCUCCACAUGCAACACGUUCACGCUUUUUAGAGAACCAGAGCCUCAUUUAUAAAGCUUCUUUAUGCAUAAAAUGGGGUUUGAAAACUGCACAAGUCAUUUCCUACACAAACUUUGUGAUAUAUAAAGAAAACCUUGAGUGGAAAAAUGACAACUUUAAUGAAAAGGUGAUUUUGAGGUGAACAGCCCAAAAUUGGGAUAUUGGGGUGAUCACCCCAAUAUCUUGAUAUCACACUUCCCACAGCCGAGCCGGUCGUUGUGAUGCAUCAUUUGUGGGGGUGCACGCUGCCAUGUGAACCGUAUUUAAGUCAGCAGGAGAUGAAUAAUAAAGAGAACAAAUUCCCCGGUGCAUAAUAAGGGCACUGCUUGCUAAAGCAGCAGGUCCCUCAACUAGAAAAUUCCUGAUGAAAUUUUAAAAAGGGACCUAGCAACUGGCACAAAACAGUGUUUAUGCAAAUACAAAACAUGCCACACACUCAAAGUUUGAAAGGGUGGCUUAAUCUGCCCCAAAUGACGACAUAUUUCGAAGUUUUAACUGAUUAAGCAGAUUAAGACAUGCACAAAGUUUAAAAAUUUAAAGAAUUGCAUCAUCACAGCCAAAGUUAUUCUAAAACACAAACACAGCUAACCGCCAUCUGCUGCACCGCAUAUGGCAUGAAAACUCGUCACUGACCGUAGUGCACCAUGGAGUGACUGUCUGUUGAUUAUACAAUGUCCAACUAAUUUCACCGCUGUGCGUGAUACUUAUAGCUCACUUUGAUGCUAGCAAAACAAAUAAUUGCUCAUAUAUAAAGCAAGACAUUACUAACAAAACAAUUGGUCUAAACACUGAAGCAGUCAGGCGUGAAAACGGGUCAAGGGUGAAAAGGUGAGAGCCCUAACCACAACAAAGCAGAAAAGAUAAAGCGCCGCCGUUAACACCUGUCUUUAGUGCCAGCUCAUGACCCAGCUCAUCUUCCUCAAAGAGGAAGUACCAUUUUUAAAACUCUCGCUUUGGCGUCAGACUCUGGCUGCGGGUCUCCUUUUGCUGUCUUCCAUCUAACCCGCUGAUCUGUCUGCUGGACAUUCAUACUUCUCCUUUAUACAUAAAAAUUCCCUAAACUACAGAGAAAUCACACCCGUCACAGAUUGUACCGAUAUCCAAACUUUGCUGUGAAUUCUUUCUCACUGUGUGGAGCUUCCUCUGUCCCCCUGCAGCAAAAGGCUACUGAACGAAACCCAUCCUUAUCGUUUGAAUAUGAGAAAUUUCCACCAACAGAAAAGGAAUCUCGUGUUUUUGUGUUUCAUUUUUUAUGUUCGUGAGCUCAUCUCCCCCUGACAAUCGCAGUUUUUUGUCACGCCUCUGCUUAGGACGAGGGAUUUGGUUAAGAACCAGCCAUUAAAAGGUAAACUAAAGAUUCCUCCCAAUUUACUUUAAGUUGAAUUUAACAUAAUUUGAAGUCACCUGGUUCAUUAAACAAAAUAAACUUUAGCAAUAACUUCUGCAAGCAUACACAUCAGCAAAAUGGUGUUCUUCUUUCUCUCUGGCCGUUCUCUUGCCCAGAGCUCUCAGCUCCUCCGUGUCGCCCCCCCACCCGCACCUCGGAGUAUCACAGAAGAGUCUGACACAAAGGCUGAUACCAAAAUGACCCAACGUUUCUGACGCCAUCAAGGAGAGGAGGAGGAGGAGGAGGAGAUUUUUAAGUUCUAAGCCUGUUAUCCACUCCCCCACCCGUCCUGAGCCAAAAGCCACGCUUCCUAACGUGCACGCGCAGGGAAAGCCGAGUCAACAGAGAGAGCAUCGCUACUUUGACUCAGAGCUGAGCUAGCGUUAGCAUUGGAGUUUUCUAAGAGCAGAGUGAUGGAAGAGUCAUCUGAUGAAGAGUUUAGACCUCCUGGCGACCUUACCUGAAGCUCAGAAUCUUGGAUCAGAACACUGGCUUGAGCAGCAACAACUGCGAACUGUCACAGGCCAAUGACGAGCAGGACGAAGACACUAGUACUGUUUGAUGUCCUUACCCUCUCGUCUCCUGGAACUACUCCUACUAUCAAUGCAACCUUCUUAGUCUGUAUGUCCCUGCUAUUGAGAUGCCAAAUGGUUUAUGAACGGAUUUUACUGCCAAUGGUCUGCCAAGAAUUGUCCCACAAAUGAGCUGUUUUGCCUGACCAGGACACUGUGGAACAAAUUUUGAGCUGCAUCUUACAAACCGUAUGUAGCAUGGCUACAUGACAAAUGGGGGGAGACCACCUAGUAGCAAUUCCAAGUUGUGUAGUCUGAAGGAUGAGGCACAAAUUCCCUAACCUCAAUGGGAAUUAUGUUGGAUUUAUACCAAGAAGAUUUUAAGCACUAAUCUAAUUAGUAAUUUACAAUAUUGUCUGAUAUGACUAAUGUAACCUUUUCCAGCUCGUCUCUUUUACUGUGAUGUGUUCAAUUUUCAAAAUAAAGUGUUAUAAAGCCGAA